CGUCCUAUUAGUGAUUCCUGCGAAUCAGCGACCACGGCAGGCGGCGGCCACAAAGAGCCGGACUCAAUGGCAGAAAAGAAGAAAAAGAAAGAAAUAUUCUAGCUGAGACAUAUUUCAACGGGAUGAUUGAGAGAAUCAUAUAGCACUGUCGCUGAAUGGAUUUAGGGUCAUCCUUUGAGAUCUACUUCCUGUCCAUUUCUCCACUGGAUUUCAGUAAAUAGAAUGGAUUUUAUAGAGUUGUGAUGAAUUGCUUUCUCUUCAUUACACUUUUUUUAAUGUGAAAAUUUAAAAAUGGCUGCCUCUGAAAGCCA